rnacentral:sRNA from 1 species
GGUACGUUCGAUUAAUAUAUAUAUAUAUUUAUAUCUAUAUGUAUUAUACUGGCCGAUGGCACCCAUACCCAUGCUCUCUGAUUAGAAGGUGGAGGCAAGCGAGUGGACUGUUAUGUGCCAAUUGAGUUGGUAAAAGCCAUGCCAACGGGAUAAAAUGAGAUCUUGAAAAAAAAAAAUAAUAAUAAUAUCAGGCACAGAACGCAACAAAUUCACCGCAAGCGUGGACUUAACGGGCUAGUUCGUCGCCUUGUCCGGCCCCUUAUUCUGAUAUUAAUGUAUGUUCCUCAAUAAGGAGACAGAUGAACAGUUUUGUUAUACUUAUGCCACAACAUUCAUAUAAUGGUUUC